CCCAGGCGCCACGGGGAAGCUUAGCGCAUCUUUAUUGGGAAUAUUACUGUAGUGGUUUUGCUGUCACAGGGGCCGUGCGCGCGGAGGAAAAUGCUCACGCUGGUAAAGUGCAUGAGUUGUGGAUGACGCCCCACACAUGGAGGGAAACAAGGAGAAAUUAGCAGAUAAGAGGUGAAGUGUUUUCCUCUGCAAAAGACCCCCUGAAGACAAUGCAGUGGUUCCUAAGGCAUUGCUGCAUAAAGCAACUCACACAGCAACUAAAACUGAAAUUGGGAAAGGAUGAUUUUUCACCUGAUUAAAAAUAGACAUUAGAGAGGCAAAAGUUAUAUCCUAUUUUGCUGUAUAUCCCCACAUGUCAAAUCUAGAAGAGGAACAUUCAACAUGUGCUUCUAAGAACAUGGAGCUUUUCACUACAAUUUUUAACAUCAUAGGACUGGACUACACUCUCUCAUAAAGACAAACAGUAAUUUUUAAUGUCAUUUCUUGGUUUAUGUCAAUAAACGUAACCAAUCCCUCA